rnacentral:tRNA from 1 species
AGGGGAGUAGCUCAAGCUGGCAGAGCAACGGUCUCCAAAACCGUAGGUUGCGGGUUCGAAUCCUGCCUCCCCUG